GCGGGGGUACCAGAGCCAGGUCUAAUGGGCGGGACUCAAGAUCCCGUGGCGUAGGCCUUCGUGGGUUCGAAUCCCACCCCCCGCACCA
rnacentral:tRNA from 1 species